rnacentral:rRNA from 1 species
AGCCUGAACGCUGGCGGCGUGGCUAAGACAUGCAAGUCGUACGGGGUCGCAAGACCCAGUGGCGAACGGGUGAGUAAUGAAUCGCUAAUGUACCCCGGACUCUGGGAUAGCUGCCCGAAAGGGCAGGUAAUACCAGAUGACAUCACCGGCCCGCAUGGGCUGGUGCUCAAAGGUCCGCCGGUCUGGGCGCAGGCGAUUUCGUAUCAGCUAGUUGGUGCGGGUAACGGCCCACCAAGGCGACGACGCGUAGCCGGACUGAGAGGUUGGCCGGCCACAUUGGGACUGAGACACUGCCCAGACUCCUACGGGGGCUGCAGUAACGAAUCUUCCGCAAUGCACGCAAGUGUGACGGAGCGACGCCGCGUGUGGGACGAAGCCCUUCGGGGUGUAAACCACUGUCAGGGACCACCAAGUUCUGAGGAGCCCCAGAGGAAGGCACGGCUAACUCUGCGCCAGCAGCCGCGGUAA